CGCCCCUUUCCGCCCCGCCUCCCUCCUAGGUGAAGGAAGAUGAUUUCCCCCCCAUCUUGAUCACCCCCCAGUCUUCGCCGCCAAAAACGGACUCCGCCGGCUCUCCUCGGCCCGGUGCCAGUUGUUGGAUCCAAGAGAAUUCCGGAACCCAAACGUGAAACCGCAAGUAACCCGGAGCCCUCGGCGCGACCACGGCUAGAAUCAGAGCCUAAGGCGUGUGAGCUCGGCCAUCCCACGUCUGUCUUCACGCUCACCCGCAAGUCCGACACACCGGGGCGCCCAGUUAAUGAAUACUGAAGAGUAGGGCUGUCCCUACCGCUUCUCACUUCCUUGUUUUCAUCUUUUCGUUAUUAUUAAGCGACCUAACACAAUAAACAUAUUACCUUGUUG
rnacentral:lncRNA from 1 species